rnacentral:rRNA from 1 species
AUUGAACGCUGGCGGCAUGCCUUACACAUGCAAGUCGAACGGCAGCGGGGGAGAAGCUUGCUUUUCCUGCCGGCGAGUGGCGAACGGGUGAGUAAUACAUCGGAACGUGCCCUGUAGAGGGGGAUAACUAGUCGAAAGAUUAGCUAAUACCGCAUACGACCUGAGGGUGAAAGUGGGGGACCGCAAGGCCUCAUGCUAUAGGGACGGCCGAUGUCUGAUUAGCUAGUUGGUGGGGUAAAGGCCUACCAAGGCGACGAUCAGUAGCUGGUCUGAGAGGGCGAUCAGCCACACUGGGACUGAGACACGGCCCAGACUCCUACGGGAGGCAGCAGUGGGGAAUUUUGGACAAUGGGCGAAAGCCUGAUCCAGCAAUGCCGCGUGUGUGAAGAAGGCCUUCGGGUUGUAAAGCACUUUUGUCCGGAAAGAAAUGGCUCUGGUUAAUACCUGGGGUCGAUGACGGUACCGGAAGAAUAAGGACCGGCUAACUACGUGCCAGCCGCCGCUGUAA